AACGAACGCUGGCGGCAGGCUUAACACAUGCAAGUCGAACGCAUCCUUCGGGGUGAGUGGCAGACGGGUGAGUAACGCGUGGGAACGUGUCCCCCAGUUCGGGAUAACCCAGGGAAACUUGGGCUAAUACCGGAUACGUGCGAGAGCAGAAAGAUUUAUCGCUGAAGGAUCGGCUCGCGUCUGAUUAGCUAGUUGGUGGGGUAAUGGCCCACCAAGGCGACGAUCAGUAGCUGGUCUGAGAGGAUGAUCAGCCACAUUGGGACUGAGACACGGCCCAAACUCCUACGGGAGGCAGCAGUGGGGAAUAUUGGACAAUGGGCGCAAGCCUGAUCCAGCCAUGCCGCGUGGGUGAUGAAGGCCUUAGGGUUGUAAAGCUCUUUCGUCCGGGACGAUAAUGACGGUACCGGAAGAAGAAGCCCCGGCUAACUUCGUGCCAGCAGCCGCCGUAA
rnacentral:rRNA from 1 species